GGCACAUCGAACACCAGGCGUCGAAGCAGGUGCUGCAGCAUGGACGGGCGGAUAUACCUGAGGAGGACAAGGCCAGAGAGGGCAGAGAUCUUACGCGAGACCCCGCCUUGGCGACCCCGCCCACUCCCUCCGCCACCAUCGGCCCCUCCUCACCUGCACAGCGCCAUGAGGCAGUCCUCGAUGACGUCGCGCUGUGCUUUGCAGGUAGCUCAGGUGGUCAAACAUGGAGCGCUGGUUCUGCCGGCUGAUUCGGCAGAAGUAGCAGAGGAAGCGGCAGCAGCUUGUCACCAUCUUGGGGAAGCGGAUCUCCUGCAGGGAGCAGACAGGGAGGACCAGUGUAAUCAUCUCAGUAUGAGAGAAACUGAAAACAAGGACUACGAGGACACAGAAGCCACCACAGUCCUGGAGCUGUCACCAUCCCGGGCUAGAUGCACCUCUGCUCUGCUUUACUUUUUCCAACAAGCUCAUGAGGCGGCUUCCCAGAGUGCUCUCCUCCUCUGGCUCCUCCUCCUCUCCCUCCAACUGGAUUCCUGGAGGUGGGUAAGAUAGUAUGGGACGCCAGGACUCUAGUGCUUGCUUAUUCAUCUGUUCAUUCAUUCAUUCAUUCAUUCAUUCAUUCAUUCAUUCAUUCACUCAAUCAUUCAUUCUCUCACUCAUUCAUUAAUCCAUUCAUUCAUUCUCUCACUCAUUCAUUAAUCCAUUCAUUCAUUUACUCACUCACUCAUUAGCCCAUUCACUCACUCACUCAUUCACUCACUCACUCACUCACUCAUUCACUCACUCAUUCAUUAAUCCAUUCAUUCACUCACUCACUCAUUCAUUAGCCCAUUCACUCACUCACUCACUCACUCAUUCAUUAAUCCAUUCAUUCACUCACUCACUUACUCACUCAUUCAUUCAUUAAUCCACCCAUCCAAUCAUCUAUCCCCUUCUCACUCAGGCACGUUCUUUGGGAAGUUCUCUUCCUCUUCUCCCUAUGCCCACGUGUUUACUGACUUAGUUAUUCUGUGAAGAAUAAUCUAGAUUGAUCUAGAAUUCCUUGUCCUGCUUCCACCUCCCACGUGAUGGGAUGACCAGUGUGUGCUGACAUGCCUGGCUAUGCUGAUUUUCAUUAGUUUGGGGAAAAAAUUGUUGGAUUUUUGAGACAGGAUCAUGUUGGCCGAACUUGGUCUUCAACUAAUUAUGUAGUUAUGUAGCCCACUUGAGGUGAUCCUCCUGCUGCAGCCUCCUGAGUAGGAAGAGUACGGAUGCAAACCACCACUCCCAGAAGCACAUGUCUUUCAAAGCAAUUCUUGAGAAUAUAUCCAAAGGACAAAGAAAGAAAAGAACAAAGUGUCGAAAGAAUUAAAAGACAGGGCUGGAGAGAUGGCUCAGUGGUUAAAAGCAUUGACUGCUUUUCCAGAGGUCCUGAGUUCAAUUUCCAGCAACCACAUGGUGGCUCACAACCAUCUGUAAUGGGGAUCUGAUGCCCUUUCUGGUGUGUCCGAAGAGAGCGACAGUGUGCUCACUACAUUAAAUAAAUAAAUAAAUCUUUUUUUUAAAAAGGUAGGGACUAACUUCUGCAAGUUGUCCUCUAACUGUUGCACAGAUGCACACACACACACUCACAUACACUCACAUACAUACACUCAUAUCACACUCACAUGCACUCAUGCAACUCACAUACUCUCUCACACACAUAUACACUCAAAUACACACCCACACACUCACACACAUGUACACACACUUGCACAUCGAUAUCUUUAAAGCAGGCUGUAGAGAUUUACUAGUCU
ensembl:lincRNA Gm26604 predicted gene, 26604